rnacentral:rRNA from 1 species
CACAUGCAAGUCGAGCGGUAGAGAGAAGCUUGCUUCUCUUGAGAGCGGCGGACGGGUGAGUAAUGCCUAGGAAUCUGCCUGGUAGUGGGGGAUAACGUUCGGAAACGGACGCUAAUACCGCAUACGUCCUACGGGAGAAAGCAGGGGACCUUCGGGCCUUGCGCUAUCAGAUGAGCCUAGGUCGGAUUAGCUAGUUGGUGAGGUAAUGGCUCACCAAGGCGACGAUCCGUAACUGGUCUGAGAGGAUGAUCAGUCACACUGGAACUGACACACGGUCCACACUCCUACGGGAGGCAGCAGUGGGGAAUAUUGGACAAUGGGCGAAAGCCUGAUCCAGCCAUGCCGCGUGUGUGAAGAAGGUCUUCGGAUUGUAAAGCACUUUAAGUUGGGAGGAAGGGCAGUUACCUAAUACGUGAUUGUUUUGACGUUACCGACAGAAUAAGCACCGGCUAACUCUGUGCCAGCAGCCGCGGUAAUACAGAGGGUGCAAGCGUUAAUCGGAAUUACUGGGCGUAAAGCGCGCGUAGGU